rnacentral:lncRNA from 1 species
GAGUCUAAGGUCAUAAAAUGCUGAUUCGUGGGAUAAUCGAAAGGAAACCUGGUGAGAAAAGUCCAUAAUGGAAGGACAAAGGCAGCAAGUGGCAGAAAGCUGAGAGAUGAUAUCUUCCACCAUGCAGAAAGCAAACAUGAACAGGACAUAGGACAAGGCUAUAAACUUUAAAGGCCACUCCCUGUGAAGUACUUAUGUACUUCCUCCAGCUUAUAUUAACCAGCUCGGAGUAUUGAAGUUCUCACCAUCUGUAGGAAGAAUUUUGAGGCCCACCUCAAACACGGAGCAUUUGAAAAAGAGAGCACAGUCACAAACACUUGGCACUGUUGGCAGCCAUGUUGUUCACAUGCUCUGGUAUGGAUACUGAAGGAUCUCCAGAACCACAGCUACUCACAGUAUCUGGUGAAGUGAAGGGAGCCUGUACCUCUGGCCAAGGCCAUGUCUCCCUUCUAGGCCUUGGAGAGUCAGCUCAGCAAUGUCUUUGGCAGAGGAUCCCAUGAGAGGAGUAUAAUGAAAUUAUUUUAAUCAUGUUUACCUAAAAGAAGUUGCGAAUCCACACUGUACUGAGUUUCAGGAAACAGAGAGCCUGGCUUCCUUCCACGCUGGGGAGAGAAUGGUUUUCAUAAGAUACCCAGGCAUUACUGAUGACCAGGAGAAUUUCAAAUAGACUGCAGAAGGACCAUUUGUAUGUAUCAGGUGAUCUGCAGGAAGUUCUUCCCUUCUCUGAACAGAAUCUGACAUCAUGCCAAGAAGACAUGCAGUCCUGUGUACUGCGACUCACCUGCUGUUUCAUCUUUGUAUUCAUCCAUAGAGAGACUCCACACUCAAACGAAGAGCAAGAACAGAGAAAAGGGCACACGACAUUCUCGGCACAUCCAACUACCCAUGUGACUAUCACAGAAAGACUUUACUGGUGAAGAAACUCUGAAAUCAAGGCACAGGAAGCAGAUACCCCUGAGCUGGAACUUAACCCGCAAGCCUCCUCCCUGAGGACAAGCUUCCACAGGACCAAAAGGCACCAUGGAAGCUUUCCAACUAUGUUGCGAACAUAUGUCCCAACCGUCUUCCCAGGUAGGUGCCUACGGGAAGUUCAUCUAACCUGUGAAAGAUGUGGCCUCUUAACAAACACAUGUCUGGGUUGCUACUUGGUCCCAGCGUACAACAUGGAGCUCCUUAAUAGGAGUUAAUGGGACAUUUUAAAGAGAAACUCCAACUUCGAGGGACCCAGAAAGAAACAGUCCAGCAGAAGCGAAACAGGGCCUGCUCCACAGACUCACUCACUAAAGAGAUGCAGUGAUCCUGGCGGGCAGACAUAGAUGAAGAACACCGUGAGGGCUGAUGCUCCGGAGUCUUGCUGUGGUUUAAGAUGGACUGUUCAUGGGUGAUUCUGGACUGUGUGCUUUCAAAUAAAGAAAGUCUGUCAUUAGGAAGUGGAAGUGGAUAGCCUGUUACCACAGAGAUGAAGGGAAGAUAGCAACGAGAAUUUGAGAUGGCCAUCUACCCUGUACCAGGUUCAUAUCCAUAUGCUGAGGUUCCCAUCCUGAUCCCAGAGCUCCACCACUUCAGGAGACAAAAGGGAGACUUACAUAAAGGGUUUAUCCCAGAUCUACACUCCCUUCACCUCCCCUUAGAAAAGAGCAGGCCUCCCAGGGACAUCAAUCAACUACAUCAUAACAAGCUACAAGAAGACAGACAUAUAUUCUCACAUCAAAGCUGCACAAGGAAACACAGUAGCUCUCUAGGUCUGCAGAUUGUAGCACGAUUGUCUUUACCUACAGCCAAUAUCCAUUGACAAGGGACAGACAGUGUUUGAUAGACCUUGGCCCCCACUUGAACCCUGCAGUCUGCUCUUCCUUGGAAAGAAUCCCAUUUCAGACAGACACUUCUGGCAGAAGGUGCUGACAGACGUGGGAUGAGGCCGGAACUCGUGUCCUGUGACAAUCACCAGCUUUCUGAGGCCUACUCAUGUGUCUGUGCAGAAUGGCCACUUCUGGAUUCUGUUU